CAUCCCCGGACAGCCGAUGAAAGUCGGUCUCCUGGGCAACCAGGCCGGGCGACAGGUGGUGCAUGGUUGUCGUCAGCUCGUGUCGUGAGAUGUUGGGUUAAGUCCCGCAACGAGCGCAACCCUCAUCGGAUGUUGCCAUCGGGUAAAGCCGGGCACUCUUCCGAAACUGCCGGAGUAAUCCGGAGGAAGGUGGGGAUGACGUCAAAUCAGCAUGCCCCUUACGCCCUGGGCUGCACACGUGCUACAAUGGCGCGUACAAAGGGCUGCUAAGCCGUGAGGCGGAGCGAAUCCCAAAAAGCGCGUCUCAGUUGGGAUUGGAGUCUGCAACUCGACUCCAUGAACCCGGAAUCGCUAGUAACCGCGCAUCAGCAACGACGCGGUGAAUACGUUCCCGGGCCUUGUACACACCGCCCGUCAAGUCACGAAAGCUGGUAGCACCCGAAGCCG
rnacentral:rRNA from 1 species